CGGCNGCAAGNUAAAACUCAAAGGAAUUGACGGGGACCCGCACAAGCGGUGGAUGAUGUGGAUUAAUUCGAUGCAACGCGAAAAACCUUACCUACCCUUGACAUGUCCAGAAGCCUGAAGAGAUUUAGGUGUGCCCGAAAGGGAGCUGGAACACAGGUGCUGCAUGGCUGUCGUCAGCUCGUGUCGUGAGAUGUUGGGUUAAGUCCCGCAACGAGCGCAACCCUUGUCGUUAAUUGCCAUCAUUUAGUUGGGCACUUUAACGAGACUGCCGGUGACAAACCGGAGGAAGGUGGGGAUGACGUCAAGUCCUCAUGGCCCUUAUGGGUAGGGCUUCACACGUCAUACAAUGGUCGGUACAGAGGGUUGCCAAGCCGCGAGGUGGAGCCAAUCCCAGAAAGCCGAUCGUAGUCCGGAUUGCAGGCUGCAACUCGCCUGCAUGAAGUCGGAAUCGCUAGUAAUCGCGGAUCAGCAUGUCGCGGUGAAUACGUUCCCGGGUCUUGUACACACCGCCCGUCACACCAUGGGAGCGGGUUCCGCCAGAAGUAGGUAGCCUAACCGCAAGGAGGGCGCUUACCACGGCGGGGUUCGUGACUGGGGUGAAGUCGUAACAAGGUAGCCGUAGGGGAACCUGCGGCUGGAU
rnacentral:rRNA from 1 species